UGUUUCUCAAAGCUAAUGUAACUUAAAUAAAAUAUAAAGUUUAGAUCCAGUCUAUAAUCCAUUAGCAGUUUCCUUUCCUAUGAAUCCUAAAUAUAAUGUAUGAUCUCAUCCACUCAUGGCAAAAUAACAUCCUUCUUAGAAGCACAUCUUCAGUGACAGCAUUUCUGGAAUGUCAUCCUAGCUCAAGUAAAGCAGCAUCUGCAGUACUACACAAUCGUCCUCAGAAGUAUUGCUAUUUAGAAGCAGAACGACAAUGAAUAAUGGUAAGAAAUAGGGCACUGCCCCGGUGGGAACACAGCAGCAGAGGUAGCAAAAUACUUAAACUUCCAACUGCUUUUUCCCAGAGAUUUAAACACCAGCAAAUAAGGCCCUGUAGGCAUAUAAAAGAUAAGAGCAAACUUAACCCCCUUUUCACCUGUUCAGCUGCCACUGGGGUCAUUUCUCUAUGUGUACUUUAAAGUUGAUUCCAUUUCUGCCCUAAUCUGUAUUCCGAGGAGUCAGCAUAAAGAGGAUGGAGACAUUAAAGACUCAGAGAUUAAUCCUGAAAGUAGAUUAGUAUAUUAAAUGUAAUAUGCUACUAUAUUAAAUGUAAUAUACUACACCACAGAUUGCCAACUUAGUUAAAAGUAGCCCAGUAGAGCUGUUGAGGAGGAACCUAUUAUUUAGACUAUUUCCUGAGUAUCAAGAAUGCUACUAUUCUUGUUCUGGUGUAGAAUUCCACCCUCAACACUUUUACCUGCUGCCCGAUGCUGACAUCCGUAUUAAGGUGCAAUUACCUUUAGGGACUAUAACAGGAGUUAUAGUUCCUGGCAGAACUACUAAUACUUUAGUAUUGAGGAAGAACUUGACAGAGUUGGUGCUCUUCACAGAAGGUGAAAUACAGAGAAAUGAGGACAACACUGCUGAGGAGGAUUUGAGAAAAGGAAGACCGAGGGUGCCUGGGUACACUAAGUUUGGCACCAGCUCCAAAGGAUUCAAAGAAAUCUAAAUGACAGUUACUACCCAGCACUUUUAAAAUCAUGACAAUACUUUAUUGCAGACAGAAAGCAUAAUGUUGCCAAGAGUUCAUGGUUCACCUAAUACGAAUGCAUUCCUGAAAAACUUUUUAAUCCCAUACAUAGGAACAGGUGAAAAGUUUAAGAGUUCAGAAAGAAAAACAAUGAAUUUGAACUGAGAAUACCUGAAUUCAAAUCUCAGUCUUGCAUAUAACAAAUGUGGGCAUUUAUGGGCUCUUCUUGGGUUUCUGUAAGUUUCAAAUCUAUUCAAAAGAGGGCAGGAGAGGCAGAUCAUCUCUAAGAGAUCAUAAAUUUAUAAAAACAUAAGGCUAUACAAAAUAUUUUCUGGUUGUGGUUUAAAGAAAAGGAAUUGUGCUACUGCCCUUGUGCUAGGGUUGGACAUAGAUUAGUUCUGCAUAAUAAUCUGCAAUUUUUAUGUAAAACUAGUGUAUGCUAUUCACAUAACUAAAAUGAUUCAAACCACUAAUGUUUGAAAGGAAGUACUUUUGUUGCUUUACUUAAUGAUCAGUUAUGUCUAGGGAAGAAGGCAAUUCUGAUACUAUAGGAUCUUCUCUUUGAAAGUGCUCGUUUAUUCAUGGGAAGUAUUGCCAAAAGCAGGUUGGCAAUCACCAACCGGUAUUGGGAUUUUAACUCCUCUUAACUUCUAUGAGAUGCAAGGCUUAACCUUGGUGUUCCUAUGAGCCUUCUAAAAAAGUCUGUGAAA
rnacentral:lncRNA from 1 species